ACAUUCCAAUCUCAGACUCAAUCCAUAGCUUGAUUCAAAUAACCCAAUUAUAGACAUUUAACAGUGUGAAACCAAACCAGGAUAUCAACACAGGCAAAUCAGGAGAAGGUAACAUGUUGACUUCCAAAAAGUCUUUACCAAAUUGAGCAGCCAAAAUUAUAGUAGCAGUGACACAAACAAAUUACUAGUAAGCAACAAAAACCAUGAGCAUUAUAACCAAUCUGCUACUCAAGAGGUUACAUCCAUACUCACAACAUUCUAAUCGAAUUGAGAGAACAAAUCACAUAAGACUUGGACCCAUAAACCAGUCUUGCACAGAACAGAACCAGGUAAAAGAAAUCCACAAGAAAUUGUGACUUUACUUCAUUUACAACAAAGUCUACACUUAUUCAUUGAUUCUAAGAAUUCAUUCAAUUUCCCAAUUGAGGCAAGUAACAACUAAUCAUCACAAACACACAAGUAUGCUUCCAAAGGUAUUGAAGUCAUAACUACAAUCAAUCAAUCUUGAACAAUGUUGCAUAACCAAAACUUGAACCAUGUUGCAGAACUGACCCCUAUAUUGUGAUAGCCUCCCUCAAACUCAUAGUAAGGGAAUACUUAGUAUGAGUUUGGAAAACAGAAAACAAAGACCAAUUUGACAUAGGAAAGUUCCACCGGGAUCGAAGGGAAAGAGUGAAAUUGAAUCGAAAAUUGACAUAAUAGAGAGCAUAGUAGCAGAACUGGAAAUCACUAACAUAAUUCCACCGGGAUCAAAAUCAACGAUGCACUCAUCAUGUAGUUCGAAAAGCCAAACCUGGUUGUUGAUUGCGGUGCUACUGAUUUGUUGUUUCUGUUUUCUGACGUAGAACCAAGAAGCGAAAGGCCUUAUGGCGGCAACGCCGUAAACAGAUCCAUAGCAUAGCGGAACUCUACCUUUGAUAAGAUUCUCCGACUUCUUGAUUUCUGCAGAAACACCAAACUCAGAUUUGCAUUCG
rnacentral:lncRNA from 1 species